AGUGACUUGAAAGGUGUACUGCCUCUGUUUGACCUCACACCGAUCUCCUCAUCCUCCACGCUGGCACCGGACUCCAGGGCAUCAUGCACAAUGAGGAGCCUCGGAGCAGAGAUCUUGAUUUUUCUGUCCACUGUUGAACUCCAGCAGACAGACUCAUCUAUUUAAAAGACACCAUAGUGCCACCAAAAAAGAGGGAAAAAGGACAGUGGCUCUGCCCCACUUCCCAUGUCUCUUUCCUAUGGUGCUUAUAUUGCAGAAGUCUCUGAGAAGGAAGAAUCUGUGUGUACAUUAAGAGAAACUUGUUCCUGUGCCCAAGGAGAUUAAAAUUACAACUUAAUAUGCAAUGAUAGCCUAUACAUCAAAAUUAUAAUAAAGUAAGGCUUAAAGUAUGAAAUAAAAAUAUAA